rnacentral:rRNA from 1 species
UGCGUAGGUGGUCGGGUAAGUUUGAUGUGAAAGCUCCGAGCUUAACUCGGAAAUUGCAUUGAAUACUAUUCGGCUAGAGGGUUGGAGGGGGGACUGGAAUUCUCGGUGUAGCAGUGAAAUGCGUAGAUAUCGAGAGGAACACCAGUGGCGAAGGCGAGUCCCUGGACAACUCCUGACACUGAGGCACGAAAGCUAGGGGAGCAAACA